GUUGGCAAGUGAUGUGAUUUCAAAUCUUAUCCUACACACUGAAUUCAUUUUGUGGACUAACUACUCCGCUUAUUAUCUGAUGCCAAU